rnacentral:rRNA from 1 species
GACGAACGCUGGCGGCGUGCUUAAUACAUGCAAGUCGAGCGGAGAUAUCUUGAAAGCUUGCUGAUAGAUAUCUUAGCGGCGGACGGGUGAGUAACGCGUGGGCAAUCUGCCCUCUAGCCCGGGAUAACAGAGCGAAAGUUCUGCUAACACCGGAUAUGCUUACAGUGAGACAUCUCACAGUAAGGAAAGUUGACACUAGAGGAUGAGCCCGCGUCCCAUUAGCUAGUUGGUGAGGUAACGGCCCAACAAGGCGACGAUGGGUAGCCGACCUGAGAGGGUGACCGGCCACACUGGGACUGAGACACGGCCCAGACUCCUACGGGAGGCAGCAGUGGGGAAUAUUGGACAAUGGGCGAAAGCCUGAUCCAGCAAUGCCGCGUGGGUGAAGAAGGCCUUCGGGUUGUAAAGCCCUUUUGUUGGGAAAGAAAUCCUGUCGAUUAAUACUCGGUGGGGAUGACGGUACCCAAAGAAUAAGCACCGGCUAACUUCGUGCCAGCAGCCGCCGUAAGAC